rnacentral:lncRNA from 1 species
AGGAGGACAUUUGACAUUGGGUUGAUCAGAGAUGAACCCAACCCUCUAGCCCGAUCGAUGAGACAGGUUGCAGUUAUUAUGGUGGGAUUAUUCCCUUAGGAUGAUUAGACUGACAUCCUUACAACAGUUUUAGUUACUGAGGUAGAGUCACAGAUAAAAGGCAUACCUACAGAUGAAGUGGCUACUUCUAGUGCCCCUCCACUAGUACAGUCUGUACCAACUAGGCCACGGG